rnacentral:rRNA from 1 species
GUAGGUGGCAAGCGUUGUCCGGAAUUAUUGGGCGUAAAGCGCGCGCAGGCGGUCCUUUAAGUCUGAUGUGAAAGCCCACGGCUCAACCGUGGAGGGUCAUUGGAAACUGGGGGACUUGAGUGCAGAAGAGAAGAGUGGAAUUCCACGUGUAGCGGUGAAAUGCGUAGAGAUGUGGAGGAACACCAGUGGCGAAGGCGACUCUUUGGUCUGUAACUGACGCUGAGGCGCGAAAGCGUGGGGAGCAAACAGGAUUAGAUACCCUGGUAGUCCACGCCGUAAACGAUGAGUGCUAAGUGUUAGAGGGUUUCCGCCCUUUAGUGCUGCAGCAAACGCAUUAAGCACUCCGCCCUGGGAGUACGGCCGCAAGGCUG